rnacentral:miRNA from 1 species
UGGGGCAGGGGCUAAGGAAGGGGGGCAGCGGCUGAGCAAGGGGGGCAGGGGCUGAGCCGCUGCCCCCCUUCCUUAGCCCCUGCCCCAUUCUUUAGCAG